AACGUAGGAGGCAAGCGUUAUCCGGAUUUACUGGGCGUAAAGCGCGUGCAGGUGGUUGUCUAAGUCGUGCGUGAAAGCGCCCUGCUCAACAGGGCGAGUGCGGGCGAGACUGGACGACUAGAGCUAGAUAGAGGCAAGUGGAAUUCCGGGUGUAGUGGUGAAAUGCGUAGAGAUCCGGAGGAAUACCAGUGGCGAAGGCGGCUUGCUGGGUCUAAGCUGACACUCAGACGCGAAAGCAUGGGGAGCGAACGGG
rnacentral:rRNA from 1 species